AGAGUUUGAUCAUGGCUCAGGAUGAACGCUAGCGGCAGGCUUAAUACAUGCAAGUUGUACGGUAAGGUUCGCCUUUGGCGAACACACGAGUGGCGCACGGGUGCGUAACGCGUAUGCAACCUACCCAUAGCUGGGGAAUAGCUCCCGGAAACGGAAAUUAAUACCCCAUAAUAUCACGAAAACACAUGUUAUUGUGAUUAAAGCUCCGGCGGCAAUGGAUGGGCAUGCGUGGCAUUAGUUAGUUGGUGAGGUAAUGGCUCACCAAGGCAACGAUGCCUAGGGGUCCUGAGAGGGUUAACCCCCACACUGGUACUGAGACACGGACCAGACUCCUACGGGAGGCAGCAGUAAGGAAUAUUGGUCAAUGGGCGAAAGCCUGAACCAGCCAUGCCGCGUGCAGGAUGACUACCCUACGGGUUGUAAACUGCUUUUCUGCGGGAAAAAUCUCUCCGACGUGUCGGGGAUUGAUGGUACCGUAGGAAUAAGCAUCGGCUAACUCCGUGCCAGCAGCCGCGGUAAUACGGAGGAUGCAAGCGUUAUCCGGAUUCAUUGGGUUUAAAGGGUACGUAGGCGGAUCAAUAAGUCAGUGGUGAAAUCUUCCGGCUCAACUGGAAAAUUGCCAUUGAUACUGUCGAUCUUGAGUAUAGAUGUAGUGGGCGGAAUACGGUAUGUAGCGGUGAAAUGCAUAGAUAUGCCGUAGAACACCAAUCGCGAAAGCAGCUCACUAAACUAUCACUGACGCUGAGGUACGAAAGCGUGGGUAGCAAACAGGAUUAGAUACCCUGGUAGUCCACGCUGUAAACGAUGAUCACUCGCUGUUGGCGAUACAUUGUCAGCGGCUGAGCAAACGCAAUAAGUGAUCCACCUGGGGAGUACGACCGCAAGGUUGAAACUCAAAGGAAUUGACGGGGGCCCGCACAAGCGGUGGAGCAUGUGGUUUAAUUCGAUGAUACGCGAGGAACCUUACCUGGGCUUAAAUGCAGGACGCUAUUCGCCGAAAGGCGGAGUUCCUUCGGGACGGACUGCAAGGUGCUGCAUGGUUGUCGUCAGCUCGUGCCGUGAGGUGUCGGGUUAAGUCCCAUAACGAGCGCAACCCUUAUUAUUAGUUGCCAUCAGGUUAUGCUGGGGACUCUAAUAAAACUGCCUACGCAAGUAGUGAGGAAGGUGAGGAUGACGUCAAAUCAGCACGGCCCUUAUGUCCAGGGCUACACACGUGCUACAAUGGCCGGUACAGAGGGUCGCUAUCUGACAACAGAAUGCUAAUCUCGAAAACCGGUCUCAGUUCGGAUUGAAGUCUGCAACUCGACUUCAUGAAGUUGGAAUCGCUAGUAAUCGCGCAUCAGCAACGACGCGGUGAAUACGUUCCCGGGCCUUGUACACACCGCCCGUCAAGCCAUGGAAGCUGGGAGUACCUGAAGUCCGUAACCGCAAGGAGCGGCCUAGGGUAAAACCAGUGACUGGGGCUAAGUCGUAACAAGGUAA
rnacentral:rRNA from 1 species